rnacentral:rRNA from 1 species
GUAGGGUGCAAGCGUUAAUCGGAAUUACUGGGCGUAAAGCGUGCGCAGGCGGUGAUGUAAGACAGUCGUGAAAUCCCCGGGCUCAACCUGGGAAUUGCGAUUGUGACUGCAUCGCUGGAGUGCGGCAGAGGGGGAUGGAAUUCCGCGUGUAGCAGUGAAAUGCGUAGAUAUGCGGAGGAACACCGAUGGCGAAGGCAAUCCCCUGGGCCUGCACUGACGCUCAUGCACGAAAGCGUGGGGAGCAAAC